rnacentral:rRNA from 1 species
UACGUAGGGUGCAAGCGUUGUCCGGAAUUACUGGGCGUAAAGAGUUCGUAGGCGGUUUGUCGCGUCGUUCGUGAAAACUUGGGGCUUAACUCCAAGCGUGCGGGCGAUACGGGCAGACUUGAGUACUACAGGGGAGACUGGAAUUCCUGGUGUAGCGGUGAAAUGCGCAGAUAUCAGGAGGAACACCGGUGGCGAAGGCGGGUCUCUGGGCCGAUACUGACGCUGAGGAGCGAAAGCGUGGGGAGCGAACAGG